CCUCUUCCUUCUAGUCUCCAGCCUCCACAACGCGAAGCAGCAGUCCAGAGUCCAGACUCUAGCCCCAAUUCGUCUCAACCUCAUCGAAGCCGCCGGCGCAUGUCCGUCCAGCCACUGCCGCCGUCCCAACUUCGAGCUUCGAAGGCAACGGUGCAACGUCCGUCCAGCCACCGCCGUUUGAGCUUCGAAAAUCGAAGCCACCGUCGCCGGUCUCGCCUCUUGCCUCUGUCGCGCAGCCACUUCCCACCGGUGCCAGCUCUGUUCCACACCACCACGUCGGCCACUGUCUUCCCAGCCACUGUCCCCAGCCACUUCCACACCCUCGCCAGCUCUGCCCUGUUCCAGCCUUCCAGCAUCCAGCUUCUAGCCUAGCUAUCAUUGGAGCCAUUCACACAACCACUUUGGCCAAGCUCUCUGCUAAAAGGCAAGAAGUUCUUUCUCCAGCAGGCAACAUUGUUGAACAGGAAACUGGAUAAUAUAAAGAUAAAGAGUGCUAUAAGAUGUUUCAAGAUUUUGAGUUAAUAUACCAAUGAAUUAUCAACUCAAUCUGCUAGAGACGCUAGGGUAGCUCUUUGGGCCUAAUACAACUAUCUUUUUGGCUGACAAGCUUCAAA